UACAGAGGGGGCAAGCGGUUAUUCGGAAUUAUUGGGCGUAAAAGGGCGCGUAGGCGGCUUUGCAAGUGACGGGUGAAAUCCCUCGGCUUAAACCGAGGAACUGCCUGUCAGACUGCAUGGCUUGAGACCGGGGAGAGGUGAGUGGAAUUCCCAGUGUAGCGGGUGAAAUGCGUAGAUAUUAGGGAAGGAACACCAGGUGGC
rnacentral:rRNA from 1 species